AUGAUGAGUCAUGUCGAGGAGGAAGAUGAGGAAGCAGGACCGAGGAAAAAAACUAAACGUAACUUUGAUGACUAUGUUCUUGAAUCUGACGAUUUGGAGGAGGAAGAAGAGAACAUGACAGAUGCCAUUAUCAAGGUGCCCUCCUUUCCCAUUCCACCAACAAAGGUGACAAAGUCCAUCCAGAUGGAGUCUGCUGGAUUUAACAAAAAGUCCACUGACCCUGGACAUUUAAACAUAAACCGAGCCAGCCAGUUGAGGGGUGCUUGGUCCAGUCAUCAGUCCAGCCACAGUGAUGUAUCCCAGCACAGUGAUGUAUCCCAGCGGAGUGUCGGGUCCCAGCACAGCAAACGGUACCGACACAGGAAGCAGUCCAGGCACAGCGACCGGUCCAGGGACAGCAACCAGAUGGGACAAGGCAAGCACUCAAGGCACAGCGAUUUUGUCCAAGGACAGUAUUCAUUUAAACCUUUAUGCGGUUCACAGAGUCAAGAAUGUAAAUGUUCUAAAGUAGUGGCAGUGUUAUGAGAUAUUUCGAGCAUAUUUUCAACAACUGGUUUUAUGUUUAACAUUCUGAACCUCAUGGUUGAAGAUAGGGUGUGCCGAUAGAUAAUAGUAUCAUGUCAUAUCGCUUGUUGCUGAUGCCUUUGACGAUAGCAAAAUAUUAGCAAAUAUUAUUAUUAUUAUUAUUAUUAUCCGUCAAAAAUACACUAGGCGGCUAUCUUAAGCGAAGCAGCAUGGAGCAGCUGGUAUAAACACAAGCAUUGACUAUACUGGCUGCGAUCAGCUCGUGGCCUCGUCAGAGCUGUAAUGUGCCACAUACAUGUGCAAUGUAAAUAAGGGGUAAGAGAUUUAUUCAACAUACAAUUUACAUGGCUUCACUGAGUAUAACAGGUGUGUUUUUGCACCGAUUGAGCUUGACUGACUGCUGAGUACAGCAGAGGCAGGAAUUGCGCACUGGGGUUGUUUGAGUCAUUCAAACUUAAUAAAUAAUAUAGGCACAAAACUUGCUACAAGAGCUAUAUCCACUAUUACGAACAACAGAGUAAUAUUUGACAAAUUUUGUCUUUCAGAUUAUGAAAUUGAUCAAACACAAAUCUUAAAAUCCUCUGGGAGGUCUUUUUCAGAGCAGAGUAACAGGUCCUCUGCACAUGAAUCAAGACGUACAGGGCCUCGUAGGGAAACAGACUUAAGAUUUCCAAUGGAUAUGGCAAGUAAGUACUUAAGUUGUAACUGGUAUCAAAAUCACAAAUAUUGAAUUAAACAGGACAUAUAGCAUUAGCAGAUUUAACUUACACAUCUGUUUAAGGAUAACAAUAGCAUAAUUUUCAGCUUGCAAGAAUUGGAGGGAAAGAUGUAAGGGAUUGUGUCCGUAGAAUUCUUGACAGGUAUUUUCACCAGUAUCCCUACAUAUAGAACUAGCCAAACAUGUUACAUUUAUUGUUUGCCAGUCGACAGAGAUGUGUCAUAUCUAUCUCUGCUUAUACUAUACUCUCAUUUUGUUCAAAAUCUGAAUCUAUUUCUUUCUUGUGCUGAACAUAAAAUAAGUUUUUGGAGAAUGUGGGUAACCAAACAGUUGCUGGUCCACAUUGACUUUGACAGCAGGAAAUAAAUACUAAGGAAUUCACUAAGGACCAGCAACUGUUUGGUUACCCAGAUUCUUCAAAAUAACUUUCAUUUUCAACAGAAGAAAUAAACUCAUUUAGGUUUAAAACAACUUGAGAGAGGGAAAAUGAUGAGAGGAUGAUAAUUUUUUGGGUGAACUAUCCCUUUAAUGUUAACAAAACACAAAACAUCUUGACUGAAGAACUUUAAUACAGUUGCUUUAAUAAGAAUCAAGUGUUACACAGUGAAGUGUAUAUAAUGCUUUAUAUUUCUUCAUUCAAUUUCUUGAAUGCUACUGCUAAAUACAUCUACUGUACCUAAAAACAAAGCACUGCUUGUUUUAUUUGUAUGUGUAUUUUUAAUGUGUUUCUUUAUUCUUAUUUUUUAAUAACAAAGAUAACAUAAUGACAAAGUUUUUAUCUUCGCCCAUUUUGGCCUAAAUGUCUGACUAAUGUUUUUUUUUUUAUUUUAUACUGUGUUACCUUGUAAGGCUUUGUUUUUAAAAUAGGGAAAUUAGUUUGGCUGUACUGUAAGUAAUUGUGAUUUUCCUAAAAAACAAUUUUAAAUUAAAGCUGCAAGCAGCGAUGAAAGGGCCCUCGCACCCGUGCUCACCACCACCACCCGUGCUCACCACCACCCGGUGGCCAUAGGAGAUCGGUGAACGUUGGACCAUAUGCUUUUAAAAUGGUAAAUAUUUGUGCCACAUUUCCUGCUGCCAAGAGGUGGCGCUAUGAUUAUAUCUGAAUAUUGGCAUGUAAAUGUCUUCAGGCCAGGACUUUUACCAAACAUGCAAAGUUCCGGGCAGAUCAGACAUUGCAUGUUUAAGUUAUUGUAAAAGAAGUUAUUUCCUGUUGCCAGCAGGUGGCACAAAGACUAUAAAUAAAUAUUGGCCUAAAGGUGAGUUCAGGCCAGCACCCAUAUCAAACACAUGAACUUUGGACAGACUGGAUAUUGCAUGUUUAAAUUAGUUUAAAUCAAGUAAUUUCCUGUCGCCAGCAGGUGGCGGUAUGAUUAUAACUGAAAUAUUGGCCUUAAGAUCUGCUGAGAGUUAAAGUUAGUUUAAAAUAAGUAAUUUCCUGUUGCCAGCAGGUGGCGCUAUAAUUAUAAUUGAAUAUUGGCCUUUAGAUGUGUUCAGGCCAGGACUUUUAUAAAACGUGUGAAGUUUGGGGCAGAUUGGGCAUUGUAUGCAUGAGUUACAACAACUUCCUGUUUCAUAGGAUUAAAAGCAUCCUUUAGCACAUAGUAAGUUUUGCUAGCAUGUUUGAGAAUAUUUCUAGCAUGAUUAGCACACAAUGGCAUAUUUUACAUUUCCUGCUGCCAACUGGUGGCGCUAUGAUUAUAACUGAAUAUCGGCAUGUAAAUGUCUUCAGGCCAGGACUCUUACCAAACAUGCAAAAUUUCGGGCAGAUCAGACAUUGCAUGUUUAAGUUAGUGUAAAAGAAGUAAUUUCUUGUUGCCAGCAGGUGGCGCUAAGACUAUAAACAAAUUUUGGCCUAAAGAUGAGUUUAGGCCAGGACCCAUAUCAAACGCAAGAACUUUGGGCAGACCGGAUAUUGCAUGUUUAAGUUAGUUUAAAACAAGUAAUUUCCUGUCGCCAGCAGGUGGCGGUAUGAUUAUAACUGAAAUAUUGGCCUUAAAAUCUGUUGAGACUAGGAAUCUUAUCAAACAUGCAAAGUUUCGGGCAGAUCAGACAUUGCAUGUUUAAGUUAGUGUAAAAUAAGUAAUUUCCUGUUGCCAGCAGGUGGCACUAAGACUAUAAAUAAAUAUUGGCCUAAAGAUGAGUUCAGGCCAGGACUCUUAUAAAACGUGUGAAGUUUGGGGCAGAUUGGGCAUUGUAUGCAAGAGUUACAAUAACUUCCUGUUUCAUAGUAAUAAUAGCAUCCUUUAGCACAUAGUAAGUUUUGCUAGCAUGUUUGAGAAUAUUUCUAGCAUGAUUAGCACACAAUGGCAUAUUUUACGGGGUUCGCUAAUAGUGCAUAAAAGUAUUAAAACAUGUCACUUCCUGUUGUCAGUAGGUGGCACUAUAACUAUAACCAAAUAUGAGCAUGUAGAUAUCUUCAGGCCAGGACUCUAAUCAAACUUGUGAAGCUUGAGGCAGAUUGGACAUAGUAUGCACGAGUUCCAGUAAUGUUCUACUUCACUGCAUUUAAUAGCAUGCUUUAACACUGAGCUAAGUGUUGCUAGCAUGUUUAAGCAUGCUUCUAGAAUUUUGCCAGCCUAUUUAACACAUGUUGAUGCUUUUUAUUAUUUUGCAAGGAGUCCAUAAGAGUGUUAAACAUCCCACACAGCAGGAGACUCCUAGGCGGAUCCGCCUUCAAGUCGCCAAACCCGCGUGACUGUCAAAUUCGUUUUGGCGCCGCCCAGAGGAUCAGCUCCGCCUCCGGGCGGCGCCGUCAAACAGCGGAUCCUGAGCGGACCCGUGUCGGAUGCUCGGACGCGGACGCGCCUUUACUGCAACGGUUGAACACAGCACACCAAGAGCCGACAUCAGUCGAGAAUUUCUUUGCUGGGACACGGUUGCGCUGAACCCUCUUUUGAGUAAGUAUUGAUUUAUUGAUAUAUUGCGACAUUCACAGUAAACAUUGGUUUUUAAAUCAUCAUGUAUAUUAAUGAUUGUAAUGACGUUGUUUGAUAUUAGGACAACUUUAACAUGUUCACUCGUGGAUAAUGGUUUAGCACUAGCUUCUAGCUAGCUGUGCAUUAUUAAGUUUGCAUUUUUGUAAUUUUGGUCUCGUGUGUGUAUCUGCCAUCCUCUUUAUAAUGAAAAAUUAAGCUUCGGCAUUUUAAUCACUGUUUGAGUCGGGCCGCCUGUUUGAACGUCAAAAAGUGCGGGCUUAUCUGCUAAUGUUAGCUAAGUUACCGUCUAUUAGCUUGAAACCAUCGACUAAAUAGACCGGUGAUUUAACGUUACCGCUCAUUUUACACAGUUUAAC
ensembl:lncRNA